rnacentral:rRNA from 1 species
AUUUAAUACAAUGGAGAGUUUGAUCCUGGCUCAGGAUGAACGCUAGCGGCAGGCCUAACACAUGCAAGUCGAGGGGCAGCAUUUGGGUAGUAAUAUCUGAGAUGGCGACCGGCGCACGGGUGCGUAACGCGUAUGUAACCUACCUUAAACAGGGGGAUAACACUGAGAAAUCGGU